CUAGUGGGUGGCGGACUCGUCUCUAUCCCCGCCAAGUUCCAUCUCGCCGCCUCAGCCUGUCGGGACGAUGGUGGUCCGCCUGCUGCUGCUGCUGCGCGACUGGCCCCGGGGCCCUGCAAUUGGCCCGGGAUCCCUAUGUCGGUCCCUUAGCUCAGGCUCGGGGUCCCGCGAGUACCUGCAGCGCAGCAUCGUGCCCACUAUGCACUUCCAGGACAGCCUGCCCAGGCUGCCUAUUCCCAAGCUUGAAGACACCAUUAAGAGAUACCUCUGUGCGCAGAAGCCUCUCUUAGAUGAUGACCAGUUCAGGAAAACGGAACAGCAUUGCAAGAGUUUUGAGAACGGGAUUGGGAAGGAGCUGCACAAGCAGCUGGUCGCUCAGGACAAGCGGAAUAGACACACGAGCUACAUUUCUGACCCCUGGUUUGAUAUGUACCUAACUGCUCGAGACUCUAUCGUCUUGAACUUCAAUCCAUUCAUGGCAUUCAACCCUGACCCAAAGUCUGAGUAUAAUGACCAGCUCACCAGGGCCACCAACAUGACUGUUUCUGCCGUCCGGUUUCUGAAGACUCUGCGGGCUGGUCUUUUGGAGCCAGAGGUUUUCCAUUUGAACCCUGCCAAAAGUGACACUGAUACCUUCAAGAGACUCAUACGCUUUGUGCCUUCCUCCCUGUCCUGGUAUGGGGCCUACCUGGUUAAUGCUUAUCCCCUGGAUAUGUCCCAGUAUUUUCGGCUUUUCAGUUCAACUCGUUUACCCAGACGCACUCGGGAUGAACUUGUCACUGAUGAGAAGGCCAGGCACCUCCUGGUCCUAAGAAAAGGACAUUUCUAUGUUUUCGAUGUCCUGGAUCGCGACGGAAACAUUGUGAGCGCCUCGGAGAUCCAGGCUCACCUGAAGUACAUUCUCUCAGACAACAGCCCGGCCCCUGAGUUUCCGCUGGCGUAUCUGACCACUGAGCACCGAGACGUGUGGGCAGAGCUCAGGCAGAAGCUGGUGAAUGGUGGCAAUGAGGAGACGCUGAGGAAGGUGGACUCCGCUGUGUUCUGUCUCUGCCUAGAUGACUUCCCCAUCGAGGGCCUUGUCCACUUGUCUCACAGCAUGCUACACGGUGACGGCACCAACCGUUGGUACGAUAAGUCCUUUAACCUCAUUAUAGGCAAGGAUGGCACUGCCGCCUUGCACUUCGAGCAUGCUUGGGGCGACGGGGUGGCAGUGCUGAGGUUUUUGAAUGAAGUAUUUAAAGACAGCACUCAGGCUCCUGCCAUCAGCCCACAGAAUCAGCCGGCCCGCACUGACUCCUCUGCGGCCGUGCAGAAACUUACCUUCAAGCUGAGCGAUGCCCUCAAGACUGGCAUCAGCACUGCGAAGGAGAGGUUUGAUGCCAUUGUGAAGACCCUCACCAUCGACUUCAUCCAGUUUCACAGAGGGGGCAAGGAGUUCUUGAAGAAGCAGAGGCUGAGUCCUGACUCGGUAGCCCAGCUGGCCUUCCAGAUGGCCUUCCUGCGGCAGUAUGGGCAGACCGUGGCCACCUACGAGUCCUGCAGCACCGCAGCCUUCAAGCACGGCCGCACCGAGACCAUUAGGCCAGCCUCCAUCUUCACGAAGAGAUGUUCUGAGGCCUUUGUCAGGGAGCCCUCCCAACACAGCAUUGGCGAGCUUCAGCAGAUGAUGGCUGAGUGCUCCAAGUAUCACGGCCAGCUGACCAGAGAAGCCGCGAUGGGCCAGGGCUUUGACCGGCACUUAUUUGCUCUGCGGUACCUGGCAGCAGCCAAGGGGAUUGCUCUGCCUGAGCUCUACCUGGACCCCGCCUAUGGGCAGAUAAACCACAACAUCCUGUCCACGAGCACCCUGAGCAGCCCAGCGGUGAACAUCGGUGGCUUUGCCCCUGUGGUCCCUGAUGGCUUUGGCAUUGGGAUGAAGAAAACCUGAUCAAGAAACCUGAACCGGGUGUUGGCUGCGCAUGCGUGCGUUCGUCACCCGGAAGCACUAACCGGGGCCCCGCCCCGCCGCCUGUACAGCUGCCAGGGUGCUGCGCUUCCUGCACUCCUAGUCUUAGCUCCUACUAGUGCCUACAUUGUGCUCUCAGCUGCAGAACGACGCUGGGGGGCUUGUCCACCUGUGCAGGCUCAGGAAAUGGUUGACAAGGCGACAGGCAAGUUCAAAGGGCACUGGGUGGGACCUCAAGCACAAGGAAGAGUAGUGGUGAUCAGGGGUAUCCUCAGCUCACCCUGACCUUGACUGGACUACUUCACACAUUUCAUUUGCUCUACAUUUUCUACAGAUCUACUUUGUGAGGUGAGGGUAGUUCCUUUCUAUUCCCAGUCUGCUCAGAGUUUCUAUAGUUCUGU